UCGAACGAGGUGCUUGCACCUAGUGGCGAACGGGUGAGUAACACGUGAGCAACCUGCCCCUGGCUCUGGGAUAGCCUCCGGAAACGGGGAUUAAUACCGGACAUGACCUUCUCCUGCAUGGGGGAGGGUGGAAAGUUUUUCGGCCAGGGAGGGGCUCGCGGCCUAUCAGCUUGUUGGGGGGGUAACGGCCCACCAAGGCGACGACGGGUAGCCGGCCUGAGAGGGCGACCGGCCACACUGGGACUGAGACACGGCCCAGACUCCUACGGGAGGCAGCAGUGGGGAAUAUUGCACAAUGGGGGAAACCCUGAUGCAGCGACGCCGCGUGCGGGAUGAAGGCCUUCGGGUUGUAAACCGCUUUCAGCAGGGACGAAGCGAGAGUGACGGUACCUGCAGAAGAAGCGCCGGCUAACUACGUGCCAGCAGCCGCGGUAAUACGUAGGGCGCAAGCGUUGUCCGGAAUUAUUGGGCGUAAAGAGCUCGUAGGCGGCCUGUUACGUCUGCUGUGAAAUCCCGGGGCUUAACCCCGGGCGUGCAGUGGAUACGGGCAGGCUGGAGGCAGGCAGGGGAGAACGGAAUUCCCGGUGUAGCGGUGAAAUGCGCAGAUAUCGGGAGGAACACCGGUGGCGAAGGCGGUUCUCUGGGCCUGUACUGACGCUGAGGAGCGAAAGCGUGGGGAGCGAACAGGAUUAGAUACCCUGGUAGUCCACGCCGUAAACGUUGGGCGCUAGGUGUGGGUCCCUUCCACGGGGUCUGUGCCGCAGCUAACGCAUUA
rnacentral:rRNA from 1 species